CUCUUUCUGAACGUUAACUCGAACGAAGUCGUUCAUUUCUAGUUUUAUUCCGGUCAUCUUAAGCCGUUUUCUUCGUUAGCUGUUUUAAAACAGCUCGAAGAUGAGAGCGAAGUGGCGUAAGAAGCGUAUGCGAAGGCUAAAGCGUAAGCGCAGGAAGAUGCGUGCGAGGUCCAAGUAAAUUGACUUGAAGGUACUUCAUUCCCUCAUGGUAACUGCAUAGGUUAGACUGGAAGUUAAUUCUGAGUGUUUGAAGUCUCAUGUUUUUUAUAAGUUCUUUAAAAAUUGUCAUUGGUAUUCUCAGUGAUGAAUCAAAAAAAUAAUAAAAAUAUUUAAAAAUGUAA